UACGUAGGGGGCAAGCGUUGUCCGGAAUCAUUGGGCGUAAAGAGCGUGUAGGCGGCCCGAUAAGUCCGCUGUGAAAGUCCAGGGCUCAACCCUGGAAUGCCGGUGGAUACUGUCGGGCUCGAAUCCGGAAGAGGUGAGUGGAAUUCCUGGUGUAGCGGUGAAAUGCGCAGAUAUCAGGAGGAACACCAAUGGCGAAGGCAGCUCACUGGGACGGUAUUGACGCUGAGGAGCGAAAGCAUGGGGAGCGAACAGG
rnacentral:rRNA from 1 species